rnacentral:rRNA from 1 species
AUGCACGCUGGCGGCGUGCCUCAUACCUGCAAGUCGAGCGCACAGACGAGGAGCUUGCUCCUCUGACGUUAGCGGCGGACGGGUGAGUAACACGUGGAUAACCUACCUAUAAGACUGGGAUAACUUCGGGAAACCGGAGCUAAUACCGGAUAAUAUAUUUAACCGCAUGGUUCAAUAGUGAAAGACGGUUUUGCUGUCACUUAUAGAUGGAUCCGCGCCGCAUUAGCUAGUUGGUAAGGUAACGGCUUACCAAGGCAACGAUGCGUAGCCGACCUGAGAGGGUGAUCGGCCACACUGGAACUGAGACACGGUCCAGACUCCUACGGGAGGCAGCAGUAGGGAAUCUUCCGCAAUGGGCGAAAGCCUGACGGAGCAACGCCGCGUGAGUGAUGAAGGUCUUCGGAUCGUAAAACUCUGUUAUUAGGGAAGAACAAAUGUGUAAGUAACUAUGCACGUCUUGACGGUACCUAAUCAGAAAGCCACGGCUAACUACGUG